UACGAAGGGUGCAAACGUUGCUCGGAAUUAUUGGGCGUAAAGCGCACGUAGGCGGCUUUGCAAGUCCCAUGUGAAAUCCCACGGCUCAACCGUGGAAGUGCAUGGGAAACUGCAGAGCUUGAGUACUUAAGAAGAUCGCGGAAUUCCCGGUGUAGAGGUGAAAUUCGUAGAUAUCGGGAGGAACACCAGUGGCGAAGGCGGCGAUCUGGGAAGAUACUGACGCUGAGGUGCGAAAGCGUGGGGAGCAAACAGG
rnacentral:rRNA from 1 species